rnacentral:rRNA from 1 species
UUAAGCAUAUCAAUAAGCGGAGGAAAAGAAACCAACAGGGAUUGCCUCAGUAACGGCGAGUGAAGCGGCAAAAGCUCAAAUUUGAAACCGUUCGCGGGUUGUAAUUUGAAGAUUGUGUUCCGGCGACGACCACGCCUAUGUUCCUUGGAACAGGACGUCACAGAGGGUGAGAAUCCCGUGCGGCGUGGCCCCCGUCUCCUUACGGAACACUCUCUACGAGUCGAGUUGUUUGGGAAUGCAGCUCUAAGUGGGUGGUAAAUUCCAUCUAAAGCUAAAUAUUGGCGAGAGACCGAUAGCGAACAAGUACAGUGAUGGAAAGAUGAAAAGCACUUUGAAAAGAGAGUGAAACAGUACGUGAAAUUGUUGAAAGGGAAGGGCAUGCCGUCAGGCUGCCAGUGUCAGUUGGAUGAGCGGGAUAAAACCAAAGGAACGUGGCCCUCGGGUGUUAUAUCCUCUGGCAAUACCGCUCGCCCGACUGAGGCCUGCAUUAUUUAGGACACUGGCGUAAUGACGGCACGCCGCCCGUCUUGA